UACGGGGGGGGCAAGCGUUGUUCGGAAUUACUGGGCGUAAAGGGCUCGUAGGCGGCCAACUAAGUCAGACGUGAAAUCCCUCGGCUUAACCGGGGAACUGCCUCUGAUACUGGAAGGCUUGAAUCCGGGAGAGGGAUGCGGAAUUCCAGGUGUAGCGGUGAAAUGCGUAGAUAUCUGGAGGAACACCGGUGGCGAAGGCGGCAUCCUGGACCGGUAUUGACGCUGAGGCGCGAAAGCCAGGGGAGCAAACGGG
rnacentral:rRNA from 1 species